UACGUAGGGUGCGAGCGUUGUCCGGAAUUAUUGGGCGUAAAGAGCUUGUAGGCGGUUUGUCGCGUCUGCCGUGAAAAUUCGAGGCUCAACCUCGAACUUGCGGUGGGUACGGGCAGACUAGAGUGUGGUAGGGGAGACUGGAUUCCUGGUGUAGCGGUGAAAUGCGCAGAUAUCAGGAGGAACACCGAUGGCGAAGGCAGGUCUCUGGGCCACUACUGACGCUGAGAAGCGAAAGCAUGGGGAGCGAACAGG
rnacentral:rRNA from 1 species